UACGUAGGGGGCAAGCGUUGUCCGGAUUUAUUGGGCGUAAAGGGCGCGUAGGCGGCCAGCACAAGUCAGUUGUGAAAUCUCCGAGCUUAACUCGGAAAGGUCAACUGAUACUGUGCGGCUAGAGUGCGGAAGGGGCAACUGGAAUUCUUGGUGUAGCGGUGAAAUGCGUAGAUAUCAAGAGGAACACCUGCGGCGAAGGCGGGUUGCUGGGCCGACACUGACGCUGAGGCGCGAAAGCCAGGGGAGCGAACGGG
rnacentral:rRNA from 1 species